AAGCCUACGGGAGGCAGCAGUGAGGAAUAUUGGUCAAUGGACGAGAGUCUGAACCAGCCAAGUAGCGUGAAGGAUGACUGCCCUAUGGGUUGUAAACUUCUUUUAUAUGGGAAUACAACAGGGUAUGCAUACCCUCUUGUAUGUACCAUCUGAAUAAGGAUCGGCUAACUCCGUGCCCGCAGCCGCGGUAAUACGGAGGAUCCGAGCGUUAUCCGGCUUUAUUGGGUUUCAAG
rnacentral:rRNA from 1 species